UACCCCCAUCGAGUAAUUCUAUACUUUAUAGAAAUUUUUAUGUUAAAACUAGUAACAAGAAGCCAAACCUUCUCUCAAGUGCAAGCAUAAUUCAGACAGGAUAAACCACUGAUAAUUAACGCCCCUGAGCAUGUAUAAGUAACCUAACAAGAAAAACCUCAUAUUUUAUGCGUUAAUCUGACACAAGAGCACUCCAAGAAAGAUUAAAAGAAAAAGAAGGAACUCGGCAAAUAUUAACCCCGCCUGUUUAUCAAAAACAUCGCCUCUUGCCUAAAAAUAAGAGGUCCAGCCUGCCCAGUGACACAUGUUCAACGGCCGCGGUAUCCUAACCGUGCGAAGGUAGCGUAAUCACUUGUUCUUUAAAUGAGGACUAGUAUGAAUGGCAUCACGAGGGUUAUACUGUCUCCUUUUUCUAAUCAGUGAAACUAAUCUCCCCGUGAAGAAGCGGGGUUGAAAUUAUAAGACGAGAAGACCCUAUGGAGCUUUAAAUUUCCACUCAAAUGCUUAUCAACCUUUAUACUUCUUAGUAUUAUUAAAAAUUACCUUAGCAUUAUGAGCCAAAAUUUUAGGUUGGGGUGACCGCGGAGUACAAAAUAACCUCCACAUUGAAACAGGCUUACAAACCCUGAGCAACGGACAACAAUCCUAUGCACUAAAAAACUAACAUCCAUUGACCCAAGUUUUUGAUCAACGAACCAAGUUACCCUAGGGAUAACAGCGCAAUCCUCUUCAAGAGUUCCUAUCGCCAAGAGGGUUUACGACCUCGAUGUUGGAUCAGGGUAUCCCAGUGGUGCAGCCGCUACUAAUGGUUCGUUUGUUCANCGAUUAAANNCCU
rnacentral:rRNA from 1 species